rnacentral:rRNA from 1 species
UACGUAGGUGGCAAGCGUUAUCCGGAAUUAUUGGGCGUAAAGCGCGCGCAGGUGGUUCCUUAAGUCUGAUGUGAAAGCCCCCGGCUCAACCGGGGAGGGUCAUUGGAAACUGGGGAACUUGAGUGUAGAAGAGGAAAGUGGAAUUCCACGUGUAGCGGUGAAAUGCGUAGAUAUGUCACAGAACACCGAUCGCGAAGGCAGCUAACUAAACUAUCACUGACACUGAUGCACGAAAGCGUGGGGAGCAAACAGG